rnacentral:rRNA from 1 species
GUGCCAGCAGCCGCGGUAAUACCGGCAGCCCGAGUGAUGGCCGAUCUUAUUGGGCCUAAAGCGUCCGUAGCUGGCCGCGCAAGUCUAUCGGAAAAUCCACCCGCCCAACCGGUGGGCGUCCGGUGGAAACUGCGUGGCUUGGGACCGGAAGGCGCGACGGGUACGUCCGGGGUUGGAGUGAAAUCCCGUAAUCCUGGACGGACCGCCGAUGGCGAAAGCACGUCAGGAGAACGGAUCCGACAGUGAGGGACGAAAGCCAGGGUCUCGAACCGGAUUAGAAACCCUAGUAGUCC